GUGGUCCGUGCCGCUGACCCGGGGCCACCCCUUUCCUGUGGGCGGCACGGCCAGAGCGUGGGGGCCGCGGGCCCGGCGCGGGACGUUCCUUUUGCUUUCAGUCUGGCGCUUCGGCGGCCCCGGCUCCCCGACGCCCCGGCGGGCGGACCGGGACCGGAAGCUUCGGCGGCGGAACGCGCGAGCCGGGCGCGGGCGGCGGCCGGGCUGGCUUAGCGGGAGGACCGGCGGCGGCAUGGCGGGCCGGCGGGUGAACGUGAACGUGGGCGUCCUGGGCCACAUCGACAGCGGCAAGACGGCGCUGGCGCGCGCGCUCAGCACCACGGCCUCCACCGCCGCCUUCGACAAGCAGCCGCAGAGCCGCGAGCGCGGCAUCACGCUCGACCUGGGCUUCUCCUGCUUCUCGGUGCCGCUGCCCGCGCACCUGCGGCCGGCGCCGGGGGCGGGGCCCGAGCCCGAGCCCGAGCCGCGACUGCAGGUCACGCUGGUCGACUGCCCGGGCCACGCGUCCCUCAUCCGGACCAUCAUCGGCGGGGCCCAGAUCAUCGAUCUGAUGAUGCUGGUCAUCGACGUGACCAAGGGGAUGCAGACCCAGUCAGCCGAGUGCCUCGUGAUCGGGCAGAUUGCCUGCCAGAAGCUGGUCGUGGUGCUGAACAAGAUCGACCUCCUGCCCGAAGGGAAGAAACAGGCGGCGAUCGACAGGAUGACGAAGAAGAUGCAGAAGACCCUGGAGAGCACCAAGUUCCGAGGCGCACCUGUCAUACCUGUUGCGGCCAAGCCUGGGGGACCAGACGCCCCUGAAACAGAAGCUCCGCAGGGCAUCCCGGAGCUCAUCGAGUUGCUGACGUCGCAGAUCUCCGUCCCAACGAGGGACCCCUCGGGGCCGUUCCUCAUGUCUGUGGACCACUGCUUCUCCAUCAGAGGCCAGGGCACCGUGAUGACGGGCACCAUCCUCUCGGGCUCCGUCAGCCUCGGCGACAGCGUGGAGAUCCCGGCCCUCAAGGUGGUGAGGAAAGUGAAGUCCAUGCAGGUGUUCCACACGCCCGUCGGCUCCGCUGUGCAGGGGGACCGGCUUGCCAUCUGUGUCACGCAGUUUGACCCGAAGCUGCUGGAGCGCGGCCUGGUGUGCGCCCCCGAGUCCCUGCACACGGUCCACGCGGCCCUCAUCUCCGUGGAGAAGAUCCCCUACUUCCGGGGGCCCCUGCAGACCAAGGCCAAGUUCCACAUCACCGUGGGCCACGAGACGGUCAUGGGCCGGGUGAAGUUCUUCAGCCCCGCCCCCGACAGCCUCGACCGCGAGCCCGUGCUGGACUCCUUCGACUUCUCCCGCGAGUACCUCUUCCAGGAGCAGUACCUGUGCCCGGGCCCGGACCCGGCCGCGGCCGACGCUGCUGAGGCUGAUGAGAAGGUGGGCCAGGCCUCGGCAGGCCGCUGCCCCCGGCAACAGUGGGCCCUGGUGGAGUUUGAGAAGCCCGUCACCUGCCCGCGGCUGUGCCUGGUGAUCGGCUCCAGGCUGGACGCCGACAUCCAUGCCAACACGUGCCGGCUGGCCUUCCACGGCGUCCUGCUGCACGGGCUGGAAGACAGAAACUACACGGAGAGCACCCUGCCUGCGCUGCGGGUGUACAAGCUGAAGCAGAAGCACGGCGUCGUGGAGCGGGUGCUGGACGACCACAGCGUGAUUGGCCGCUCGCUGUUCAAGAAGGAAACCAACAUCCAGCUGUUCGUGGGGCUCAGGGUGCAGCUGUCCACCGGCGAGCUGGGGGUCAUCGACAGCGCCUUCGGACAGAGCGGCAAGUUCAAGGUCUACGUCCCUGAUUUCACACCUGUUGGCACCGCGUCACGCUUGCUGUGCAUGUGCUGAGCCGUGCAGAGGAGGCACAGCAACCCCCGCGUGCCCGCUCACACCCCUGAGGAUGGCGUCUCCCCACAGCCACCCUCACCUGGAAGGGCCCUUCCGGGGAGGAGGACCCAGCAGGACCGGGCCCAGCCCCGAGCGUCACGUCCCCGGAGGAGCCCCGCGCGGGGCCGUGGCCGGAGCAGGCAGGAGCAGCGUGGCUGACAUCUGACAUCACCUUUGAAAGUACUCGGAACAUGAAGUUGCACGUAGCACAUGCUCCCGACCGCGUGAAAGGGAAGUCUUGCAGAGAAAAGAAAGAAAAAGUGGCCUGAGCCCCGAGUCCAAGAAGAUCCUGACGUCCGCCCUCAAGAAGCGGGGCCGAGCCGGCCGGGGCGAGGCAGCCAAGCCAGAGGAGGCGGAGCAGCCGGAGCCCGCCCAGCCCGUGGGCCUCAG